GAUGAAGAACGCAGCGAAAUGCGAUAAGUAAUGUGAAUUGCAGAAUUCAGUGAAUCAUCGAAUCUUUGAACGCACAUUGCGCCCGCCAGUAUUCUGGCGGGCAUGCCUGUUCGAGCGUCAUUACAACCCUCAGGCCCCCGGGCCUGGCGUUGGGGAUCGGCGGAGCCCCCCGUGGGCACACGCCGUCCCCCAAAUGCAGUGGCGGUCCCGCCGCAGCUUCCAUCGCGUAGUAGCUAACACCUCGCGACUGGAGAGCGGCGGGGCCACGCCGUAAAACACCCAACUCUUCUGAAGUUGACCUCGAAUCAGGUAGGAAUACCCGCUGAACUUAAGCAUAUCAAUAAGCGGAGGA
rnacentral:misc_RNA from 1 species